rnacentral:tRNA from 1 species
GGGGCUGUAGCUCAGUUGGUAGAGCGCUUCGUUCGCAUCGAAGAGGUCGGGGUUUCGACUACCCUCAGCUCCACGA